GAGUUUACAACUCCCAAACCCAAUGUGAACGUUACCAAACUGUUGCCUCGGCGGGGUCACGCCCCGGGUGCGUAAAAGCCCCGGAACCAGGCGCCCGCCGGAGGAACCAACCAAACUCUUUCUGUAGUCCCCUCGCGGACGUAUUUCUUACAGCUCUGAGCAAAAAUUCAAAAUGAAUCAAAACUUUCAACAACGGAUCUCUUGGUUCUGGCAUCGAUGAAGAACGCAGCGAAAUGCGAUAAGUAAUGUGAAUUGCAGAAUUCAGUGAAUCAUCGAAUCUUUGAACGCACAUUGCGCCCGCCAGUAUUCUGGCGGGCAUGCCUGUCCGAGCGUCAUUUCAACCCUCGAACCCCUCCGGGGGAUCGGCGUUGGGGAUCGGGACCCCUCACCGGGUGCCGGCCCUGAAAUACAGUGGCGGUCUCGCCGCAGCCUCUCCUGCGCAGUAGUUUGCACAACUCGCACCGGGAGCGCGGCGCGUCCACGUCCGUAAAACACCCAACUUCUGAAAUGUUGACCUCGGAUCAGGUAGGAAUACCCGCUGAACUUAAGCAUAUCAAUAAGCGGAGGGAAAAAAA
rnacentral:rRNA from 1 species